UACGUAGGGCGCAAGCGUUGUUCGGAAUUACUGGGCGUAAAGCGUGUGUAGGCGGUCCGCUAAGUCGGGUGUGAAAGCCCUGGGCUCAACCCAGGAAGUGCACUCGAAACUGGCGGGCUAGAGUACUGGAGAGGUUGGUGGAAUUCUCGGUGUAGAGGUGAAAUUCGUAGAUAUCGAGAGGAACACCGGUGGCGAAGGCGGCCAACUGGACAGAUACUGACGCUGAGACACGAAAGCGUGGGGAGCAAACAGG
rnacentral:rRNA from 1 species